UCCCCUUCCCCCCCCUGCGCCGCUCCCGGGGAAGAAAAGCCUCUUUAAACUCUCAAGUGUCCGCGGCCGGCCCGAGGGGGUCACCUUGGCGGCGCCGUCGGGCGGCGAGGUGAUGUCGCCGGGACCCCGCUGUGCUCGCAGGAUCCCCCCGGCGCCCCCAUUUCGGAGCCAGCAGCCCUGCCCCGGCCAGAUCAGUCCUUGUUCCAGUUCAUCUUUCACAGUUCCCAAAUUUUGAUCCUCAUUGGACACUUUAAACCAUCUUUGACUGAUCAUUGCAGUUGAGUUCAGAAACACAGGACAGGAAGUCCAGAAACUUUUUGCUGGCUGUGAAACAAAGGAGGCUUUUUCAUAUAUUGGAUUUUUUUUCUUCUAAAGAAUUAAAAACCAACAACACUUGUUGGCUCUUCCAUAGUUUCCAGUUGCUCUUAGCUGUGAUUGAAGCAAUUCCCCUUCCCCUGUCUCAUGCUGGUGAGAAGCUCUGGUUGCCAGAUGUUACCUGCUGCUGUGGCACACCUCAGAGCACUGCAGGAGGAUUCAGGCUCAGCAGCUACAGGGCGAAUGGUCCGAGUCUUCCGUUAGGAUGAAUGAUCUUCUGUCAAGCAUUGCAGGUUCUUUCCGGAAGUUUUGAUUCAUCAUGUAUACUUGACCUCUACCAAAGUGUUGAAUCCAAGGAGCUUUAUAACGAGAAGAUCCUUUCCCUUCAGGUGUUUGACUCUAGGUUCUAGCCUGCUGAAAUGUGAAGCACACUGUUGUUGCGGACAGUGCUUCUGAAUAUCACAUCUUCACAAGCUGAAUGCAUGAUUGCUUUUUAUAGCUACUGAGAAACCUUUGAGUAAACAUGAAUCGUUUUUUAUGGCAUCAAAUUUGAAAUGUUUCCUUAUCAGGUGUGUCCCCUAGCUGCCCAAGUAAGAAUGUGAUAAUGAUCUGUAAUGCACACAGAUUUUUAAAAUAAGACAAACUUUUUGUUAUGCAAUGCACUGCUACUGUGGUGGGAGAAAAAGAAAGACUCUCUCUACAGUACUUCAUCUAUACCCACUUGAUCUGGAUUGCAGCUGUAACAAAUUAUACACAUUUUUGAACUGCUUGAAAGUCCUUUGAUCGUUUUAGUUCUUUUGUAUAAGUAUAUAUAAAACAGUGUCACACAAUG